rnacentral:lncRNA from 1 species
CAGCUGAAGAGCAGUUAAUUUGUUUUGAUCGUAUUGAAUGGCUGAGCCAGCCUGAAAGACAAUAUUUAACAGCAUUAAGUAAGAGAAUUAGAACAUUUGAAACGUGGACUUUUUUCGGGAGUGCAGAUUAAACCAGAUCUACCCAAUGUCAAUUUUUAGAAUAAGGCUACCCAUCAAAUCUAAGAAAGUCCUUCUGGAUACCAAGAGAAUCUGUUUAAAAGCAGCAAUUUCUGAUGCAAAAAGGAGCUAUAAUAGAGCUUUAAGCAAUGAGAAAACUAGUAGAGAACAAUUAGAAGAAAUUAGUGAUGAAAGUAACUUCUUACACAGAGCUAAUGAAAUAUAUGAAGCAAAACGGCUAAACCUAAGAUGAAAAUAUGUCAAAAAGGUGAAAUGGAUUUUCAGAAACCAAAGAGUAUAUAGACGUAGAAAUGAGAUAAGGUUAGAAGAUGUGGUAACAGUAAUAGGAGAGAUAGACCUGCCACCAUGUAUCCAGAAACUAUUACAAAAAGGCCCGGCGUGUGCCACUCUUCUUAAUUUAGCACCCAUAGACGAGAUCCCGUACUUAGAGAGCACAUUACAACCAUUAGGACGAAGUGAAGGAGAGGGGCGGAAAUGCCGAUGGGCUUGUGCUGGAGAGGUCGUGGCGGAUUGUGCUUCCCAUCGCGGGCAGCGUGGUCGGUGCAGGCAGC